UACAGAGGUCUCAAGCGUUGUUCGGAUUCAUUGGGCGUAAAGGGUGUGUAGGUGGCGCCGUAAGUCGGGUGUGAAAUUUCGGAGCUUAACUCCGAAACUGCAUUCGAUACUGCCGUGCUUGAGGACUGGAGAGGAGACUGGAAUUCACGGUGUAGCAGUGAAAUGCGUAGAUAUCGUGAGGAAGACCAGUGGCGAAGGCGGGUCUCUGGACAGUUCCUGACGCUGAGGCGCGAAGGCCAGGGGAGCAAACGGG
rnacentral:rRNA from 1 species